UGGGAACAGAAAGUUGUCGAUUGCUGUGU
rnacentral:piRNA from 1 species